GCGUCAGCGAGACAAAACAAAGUUCUGGUGUUCAAAUCUCAUUGCAGCUUUAAUUGAGUGUUAUAAUCGACAAGCAAAAAAUUUUAUAUUAAGAAGUGAAAAUUGUGUGAUGUAAGCAUUCAUUUAACUACCAUUGCUAUCGUAGCCCAUAGCUGAAAAGUAAAGUAUUGGUUGGCUAAGCGAUAUAUCUUAGGAUCAAAUCCCGCUUGGGUGAAACAAUGAAUCUAUGAGUACCGUCAUAUUCGUUCACAUCAGUGUUUCUACACAUGAAAAUAUCGAAAAAGGUGUUCGAACUUAAAUUCUUGGUGCUUUUCAUAGUAUGGGGAAGGGGACAUAUCUCGAAGGAUUGUCCACGAGAGGGGCCGUGGUGGUAGUGGAAGUCGUACCUGCCAUGAGGUAAACAAAAAACCAAAAAAACAAGAUUUUUAGGGCACAUUUUUACGAAGAAGAGGACCAUGUAGCAAGGGACUUUCCACAAGGAGGAUGCAACGGUGGCAGCAAUUGUUACAAUAUAAACAUCAAUUGUAUCUUCACAAAAAUAUUUUAUAUUUCAGUGUUCAUUGUUUUACCCGUAGUGUCAUGAAGCUGGCUACACCUCGAAAGGCUGGCCAAACUAUUCAGUGAAUUGACAGAAGAUGGAAAGCCGCAUGAAAAAUACAUUCCAGAAACUGUGAUGUGAUGAAAAGGAACUAUUUAAGGGCAUCGUCUGUGGGAAACACUUUAACAAUUUUGAUAAAGUCAUCCUCCAGGUUACAAGAAAAGAUGUACGUCAAUACAUAACAUCUUUCGAAAAAAGAAGGUUUCAGCCCCAAUGUUGAAAAAAUUGUUAACCAUCCAACGAUGCAUCCGAAAGGAAUCCGUCAUGCUUGUACGUUUUCGGCUACAUUCCCAGAUGAAGUACAAGAACUGGCUGCGACGUACAUGGAAGACUACAUAUUCGUCACAACAGGCAUUGUCGGUGCACCAAUCUGGAUGUGGAACAGCUGUUUUUUUUUCAGUGCUCGGUCAACACGAUCGACCGUCGGAAGAGCGAUGACAUCAGCUACGAAUCUUCUCCAUCCUAUGACGACAGGCAGCCAUUGAUUCCUUUGCAGCAACAUCAGCAGCGGUAAAGAGAAUUUCUCAUUUUUCUUUCAUUUUCUAUGGGGAAAAGAAAAAACA